AAAGCGUGCGCAGGCGGUUAUGUAAGACAGAUGUGAAAUCCCCGGGCUCAACCUGGGAACUUCAUUUGUGACUGCAUGGCUAGAGUACGGUAGAGGGGGAUGGAAUUCCGCGUGUAGCAGUGAAAUGCGUAGAUAUGCGGAGGAACACCGAUGGCGAAGGCAAUCCCCUGGACCUGUACUGACGCUCAUGCACGAAAGCGUGGGGAGCAAACAGGAUUAGAUACCCCAGU
rnacentral:rRNA from 1 species